rnacentral:tRNA from 1 species
GCCUCCGUGGCGCAAUCGGUUAGCGCGUUCGGCUGUUAACCGAAAGGUUGGUGGUUCGAGACCAUCCGGUGGCG